UUGGAGGGCAAGUCUGGUGCCAGCAGCCGCGGUAAUUCCAGCUCCAAUAGCGUAUAUUAAAGUUGUUGCAGUUAAAAAGCUCGUAGUUGAACUUCGGGAUUUGUCCAUUGGUCAGGCUUAACUGUCUGUACUGGUGUGACGAAUUCCUACCUUCUGAGGAAUUUUCAUGCCAUUAAGUUGGUGUGGGGAGGAAUCAGGACUGUUACUUUGAAAAAAUUAGAGUGUUUAAAGCAGGCUAACGUCUGAAUACAUUAGCAUGGAAUAACAAUAUAGGACGGCUGGUCCUAUUUUGUUGGUUUCUAGGAUCACCGUAAUGAUUAAUAGGGAUAGUUGGGGGCAUUAGUAUUCAAUUGUCAGAGGUGAAAUUCUUGGAUUUAUUGAAGACUAACUACUGCGAAAGCAUUUGCCAAGGAUGUUUUCAUUAAUCAAGAACGAAAGUUAGGGGAUCGAAGACGAUCAGAUACCAUCGUAGUCUUAACCAUAAACUAUGCCGACUAGGGAUCGGACGAGGUUAAUUUUUAAAUGACUCGUUCGGCGCCUUACGGGAAAC
rnacentral:rRNA from 1 species